rnacentral:piRNA from 1 species
UGGACGCCGUCAACGCCUUCAAUCAGGAGC